rnacentral:lncRNA from 1 species
CGCCGAGCCUCGGAGAGCAGGGGCUUUGCUUUUCCGGCUGAGGUGCUCAAUAAACAUCUCUUAAACAAAGGAGUGCGCAAGUGAGAUAACAUAAGGGGAAUACCCAACUAUACAACAAAGAGUUGCCAAACAUUUCUCUGGAGCAAAUAAAUGGUGUGACGGAUGGAACUAACUGGAUCACCAACCUGUGAGAGAUGGCUGGUUCACUGGCCUUGGUCUCCUCAGGCCAUGACAUUAAUUCACUGGCUCCACCCUCCACCCUGUUCUAUGGCCCUGGGCGUGACAUGCUCUUGCCCCUUGCCUUCUGUUUGGAUCCUGCCAAUGAGGACUCCUAGCAGGAGAUGGGGGCUCGCAUAUUUAACUGAAAGGCUCAGCUCCACACAGCGUUUCUGUCUCCAGCCCACACAGCACAAUGAGAUAAAGACUGGAGGCUGCUCACUGCUGAGAGUGGACCAUCCAGCUCAUUUGGUCACAUAGUUUCCAGCCAGCCACCUUAUGGGCAAGAUUUUGGCUCACCUGUAAGCUAUUAGCUGGAAAAUACUGGCUUCAUGAAAUGGCUUGGAAGAUUUGGAGGCAACCUAAGUGUCCAUCAACAGAUGAAUGGAUAAAGAACAACAGGGUGACUAAAGUCAAUAAUAAUUUAAUUAUACAUUUA